UUUGGGGGAAUGUAUAGUGUAAUCUAAUUGUCAUUUAAUUUAUUAAAUGCAAUAUCGACUACGUCGAAUAAAGUUCUAGAUAGAAUAAUGAUAAUGACAAUUUUCUAUCUAUAUGUCUUGACUAAAUCACGUGCCAGCAGUCGCGGUAAUACGUGGAAGACUAGUGUUAUUCAUCUUUAUUAGGUUUAAAGGGUACCUAGACGGAAUGCUUAGCUUAAUAAUAAAAGUACAAGUAAUCUAGAGUUUUAUAUGAGAAAGGGAGAACUUUUGGAGUAGAGAUAAAAUUCUGUGAUAACAAAAGGACUGGCAAAGGCGAAAGCAACUUUUUAUGUAAAAACUGACGUUGAGGGACGAAGGCUUGGGUAGCGAUAAGGAUUAGAUACCCUAGUAGUCCAAGCAGAAAAUUAUGAAUGUCAUAGACUUGGUUAAAGCUAUUUCUAUAAAUGAAAGUGUAAACAUUCCACCUCAAGAGUAAUGUGGCAACGCAGGAACUGAAAUCAUUAGACCGUUUCUGAAACCAGUAGUGAAGUAUGUUAUUUAAUUCGAUGAUCCGCGAAAAACCUUACCACAAUUUGAAUAUUAUACAAGCGUUGCACGGCUGUCUUCAGUUAAUGUCGUGAGAUUAUGGUUAGUUCCAUUAAUUAACGUAAACCCUUGCUUUAUUUAAAAAUAAUAUUUGUUUGAUAAAAUGGCUUUAAUCUGGCUUUUCAUUCAUCAUAAAGCAGUUCUCCUAAAUCUUUAGGAUUGAUAAAAGGGACUAAGACAAGUCAUCAUGGCCUUAA
rnacentral:rRNA from 1 species